rnacentral:rRNA from 1 species
UACGUAGGUGGCAAGCGUUAUCCGGAAUUAUUGGGCGUAAAGCGCGCGCAGGCGGUCUCUUAAGUCUGAUGUGAAAGCCCACGGCUCAACCGUGGAGGGUCAUUGGAAACUGGGAGACUUGAGUGCAGGAGAGAAAAGUGGAAUUCCACGUGUAGCGGUGAAAUGCGUAGAGAUGUGGAGGAACACCAGUGGCGAAGGCGGCUUUUUGGCCUGUAACUGACGCUGAGGCGCGAAAGCGUGGGGAGCAAACAGGAUUAGAUACCCCGGUAGU